GACAGAUAGCAGCAGCUAUGGAGGCUCUCUGAAACACCCAGCGUAGAAUUCAGGAAUGGUGCAGAGUAAAGAAUCAUAAGCAAGUGGAGAUAUGCCCUGCUGACCUAAGAAUGAACUGGGCUGAGAGAAACCAACUUGGAAUGCAAUCUGAUGCUAUAACAGGAACAGAAAAGUCUCAGUGUGGAAGCUGGAGCCCGUGCCAUUGGAAGCCGCGAUUUGGGUUUCCUGCCGCGUGGCAGCUGCAUCUACAUCAGCUUGGCUGGGAGAGAGACGUGCGGAAGCUCUGAGAACGGGAAUCGGCGAACGGAGUUGAAAACAGGACGGGCGGGGAACUGUGCAUUGACUUGCGGUAAGCACCUCUCUCUGCAAAUGGUACGGAACGCAAAGACUCAGUAGAAAUCUCAACCUCAGACGCUAGAAUGGCUUCCCAGUAUCGGCUCUAUUACUAUUUGGCAUCAGGGGCCCCUUUGGCCUGGAGAUCCUGCCCCAGAAAAAUGUCUUAAAAUCCACAAUAUAAAACUCAAAAGGUGAAAAAAUGAUGAAUAGAUAACAGCAGGCUACAGAGGCUCACUGAGAUAUUCAACUUAGAAUUCAACAUAACACAGAGUGGGAAGUCCCAAACAGAGGAAGAUGAAUUCUCUUGUCUCAAGAAGAAAUUAAGGUGACUUGCCAACCAUCUGAGGUCCUGUCGCAAAUUGCUGGGGUACUGCUGCGACUUGCCAAGGUCUCACCACGACUUGCCAAGCAGUCCAGGGUCUCGCCACUUUGACUCACUGGAGGCACAGUUGCACUGAGUUUAGGGGUUGGCGAGCCUAAAAGAGAGCUGAGUUGGCAGGGUGCCUGCAUUGACUUGUGGUGAGUGACAGGAGUGGAGCCAUUCCAUAAAUAGGGGGACUCCAGUGGACCACAUUUUGGGACCAGGCAGGACUGGCAAGUACAAGGGGCAGUAGUGACUUCAGUCAAUUGUUCCUUUCCCAAACGGGAUUGGUGGAGUGAGCUACGCCUGGGUCACGUGACCUGGCUGAGCCCCAAUAGGUUAUCCGAGGUCAAGUCCCUGCAGCAGUGGUGCACACUAACCACACUGGCCCAGAGGGGAGGUGGUGCAUAGUAAUACAGUGCAGGCCACAGCAGCUUGACUGAUCUGGAGGGGAGGGGCCAGCAUGUUCUGUUCCUGUCUGCAACUCACUAUCACACUGUUGUGGGAAGGGUCACCUAGCCAGCAUGUUUCAGAAGAAUUGUAACCAACAAAAAAAGAAACUGGGGCCUCCUGGAAGAAGCAAAAAAAAAAAAAAAAAAAAAAGAUGGGAAGAGGAAGCAACAACAAAAAGUCCCCAGGUCCCAACCUUGAGAACACUGACCCAGGGCAGGUAAAUGCAAAGGAGAAUGAGAACAGCAAACAUGCAAUAUAAGACUCAGGGCCAGUGGACAUAAAGAGAUAUAUUCAGGACCUCAUAGAUGAGUUCAAAAGUGAAAUAUUUAGCCAAAUAAAGCAAGAUAUAAGAAGAUUAAUAAAAGAGAUACUAAGCUCCCCUCAAGCAGACACAGACAGAAGAAGGGAGGAACUCAAACAAAUGAGAGAACCAUUUGAUGAAAAAUAUAAAAAAUAUAGAAUACAUGAAGCAGAUUCAAAGAGAUCACCAGGAAAUUAAAAAUUCUAUGGAAAGAAGGCAAAUCAGCUUGAAAGAAACUAAGGAUAGAUUAUCCAAACUGGAGGACAAUUUUGCAAUGUGGGAGUAUGAAAGGAAAAACUUUUUAAAAAUAACAAGGAAACAAGCAGUAACAAUACAAAGGCUAGGAGAUGACAAAAGGAUCUAUAACUCGAGAAUAAAGAAUGUGAAUGAAGAAGCUGGGGUGCAAACAAAGGAACUACAAAGGUUAUUCACAGAAAUAAUUAAGGAAAACUUCCCCAACAUAGGGAAAGGAAAUGACAUUCUGAUAUAUGAGACAUACAGAACUCCAGCCACCUACAACCAAAACAGAGCUACACCUGGGCAUAUAAUAAUCAAUAUUCCAGAAAUUCAAUCUAAGAACAGAAUAUUAAAAGCUGUUAGAGACAAGAAACAGAUAACCUGUAGAGGAAGACCCAUCAGAAUAAUAACAGACUUCUUGACACAAACCAUCAAGUCAAGAAGAGCCUGAAGCAAAAUACUCCAAGCCCUGAAAGAAAAUAACCUCCAUCCCAGAUUGAUAUACCCUGAUAAACUGUCUCUAGAAAUUAAUGGAGAAACAAGAUGCUUCCAAGACAAAGAGGAACUUGGGAAAUUCACAACCACCAAUCCAACUCUACAGAGAAUACUGCAGGGCAUUCUAGAGAGAGAGAAAAGUCCUAGGAUUCCAGGUACAGUGGCAGAGAGGCCUCAGUGAAUGGAGCAGAAAACAGAAUGAAGAAGAUAAGCACACAACUGAUGGCAAAACAGGAGCAUAACAAAAAUGAGGCAGAGAAAAUUUUAUUCAAAACUGUUAUGAUUGAUAGUAUCAAGUCUGAGAGUAUAGGCAACUACACUGAAGAUGACAAGACUCUCUGAUACACAUUCUGGUUUGAUAACUGUCAGUUUUUGAAGUUCUAUACUAUAUACAAAGUUGUGUUUUUAUGAAUACUGUUAUGUACUGAUAUAUUCAAUUAUACUAUAUCUGAUGAUACAACCAAUUCUAUUGGAGAUAACAAGAGACAACACAGGAACCAUGGUAGAUCUCUUUGUACAAUGAUCUUAUAUGUUUAUUUCAUUUCAUGUGUUUAUAGGAAUAUGUUUUGUUUUGCCUUGCUUUCUUUUGUUUCUCCCUCUAAUAUAGAAAGGAUAAAAAUGCAUGUUAAGACUCAUGCAUGUGAGAAUCUAUAAACAGUCUAUGAGAACUGAUCUUAUGACACAUAAUGAAAUGAAUAGAUACUUUGAAGAAAAAGAGACACUAAAAUACCCAGUGCUGAUCGUGGAGUGUCAUGAUGUGAAACCCAGCAAUAGUAUUAUUCUUUGUUUCAGAGUGAUAUUAGCCUGCUUGGGUUUAUUCAGUCUCAACAUAAUUGAAGAUAUAUGAAUAACUGCAUGUAUGUUUAAGUGUGUAGGAUUGAUAACCAUAUUUCUAAGUUUUUGUUGGAUAGUUGAACAGAACUGGUUGCAAUCUCACCGUUUGAAUCCCCACUUUAUAUGCUCCACUUUAGUAUCUUGAAUAACUAUUUGUAAGAAGACAAUCUGUAAUCAUCAACUAGUGAUUUCUUACUGUUUCUUUCUUUGAAAUUAUGUAUUAUUUCUACCCAUUUUCUGUUUUGUUUAGUCUUUCUUUAAAUUAAAUUUUUUAAAAAAGACACUACAGUACCCAGUGCUGAUCACGGAGUGUCAUCAUGUGAAAUCCAGCAAUACUAUUAUUCUUUGUUCAGAAUGAUUUUAACCUGCUUUAGUUAGUUUAAUCUCAACAUAAAUGAAGAUAUGUAUAAUGCAUAUAUGUUUAAGUGUAUAGGAUUGCCAACCAUGUUACUAAGUUUUUGUUGGACAGUUGAACAGAACUGUUUGCAGUCUCACUUUACAUGAAUUCCCACUUUACAUGUUCCAUUUUUGUACUUUGAACAACUAUUUGUAAAAUGACAAUGUGUAAACAUCAACUAGUGAUUUCUUACUGUUUAUUUUUUUUCUCUGAAUGUAUGUAUUAUUUCUAUUUUCUGUUUUGCUUAGUCUUUCUUUAAAUAAAAUUUUAAAAACUCAAAA